rnacentral:rRNA from 1 species
AGAGUUUGAUCAUGGCUCAGAAUCAACGCUGGCGGCGUGCCUCAGACAUGCAAGUCGAACGAUUAAAGCUUCCUUCGGGAAGUGCAUAAAGUGGCGCACGGGUGAGUAACACGUAAGUAAUCUACCCUCGAGUGGGGAAUAACGUUCGGAAACGGACGCUAAUACCGCAUAAUGCAGCGGCACCGCAAGGUGACAGUUGUUAAAGAUUUAUUGCUUGAGGAGGAGCUUGCGGCAGAUUAGCUUGUUGGUAAGGUAACGGCUUACCAAGGCUACGAUCUGUAUCCGGUCUAAGAGGACGGUCGGACACACUGACACUGAAUAACGGGUCAGACUCCUACGGGAGGCAGCAGUCGGGAAUUUUGGGCAAUGGGGGAAACCCUGACCCAGCAACGCCGCGUGAAGGAUGAAGUAUUUCGGUAUGUAAACUUCGAAAGAAUAGGAAGAAUUAAUGACGGUACUAUUUAUAAGGUCCGGCUAACUACGUGCCAGCAGCCGCGGUAAUACGUAGGGACCAAGCGUUGUUCGGAUUUACUGGGCGUAAAGGGCGCGUAGGCGGCGCGGUAAGUCACUUGUGAAAUCUCUGAGCUUAACUCAGAACGGCCAAGUGAUACUGCAGUGCUAGAGUGUGGAAGGGGCAAUCGGAAUUCUUGGUGUAGCGGUGAAAUGCGUAGAUAUCAAGAGGAACACCUGAGGUGAAGACGGGUUGCUGGGCCAACACUGACGCUGAGGCACGAAAGCCAGGGGAGCAAACGGGAUUAGAUACCCUAGUAGUCC